UGGGGAAUAUUGCACAAUGGGCGCAAGCCUGAUGCAGCAACGCCGCGUGAGGGACGACGGCCUUCGGGUUGUAAACCUCUUUUGGCAGGGAAGAAGCGAAAGUGACGGUACCUGCAGAAAAAGCACCGGCUAACUCCGUGCCAGCAGCCGCGGUAAUACGGAGGGUGCAAGCGUUAUCCGGAAUCACUGGGCGUAAAGGGCGCGUAGGCGGUCUGUUAAGUCCGAUGUUAAAUCCCGGGGCUCAACCCCGGAUAAGCGUUGGAUACUGGCAGGCUAGACGGUUGGAGAGGCGAGUGGAAUUACCAGUGUAGCGGUGGAAUGCGUAGAUACUGGUAGGAACACCCAUUGCGAAGGCAGCUCGCUGGACAACACGUGACGCUGAGGCGCGAAAGUGUGGGGAGCAAACC
rnacentral:rRNA from 1 species